rnacentral:rRNA from 1 species
AGCUCCAAUAGCGUAUAUUAACGUUGCUGCAGUUAAAAGGCUCGUAGUCGAAUUUAUGAUUUUUCUAUUAUUACCCAAUUCUUAGGAAUUGUUUGGUAAUAAUAGUAAACCAUCUUUCUAGAGAUUAUUUCUGUCCUUCAUUGGAUGGUUUUAAAAUCUAGAUCAUUUACUGUGAGUAAAUCAGAGUGUUCAAAGCAGGCUUUAAUGCUUGUAUGUAUUAGCAUGGAAUAAUAAGAUAGGACUUCGGUUCUAUUUUGUUGGCUUCUAGAAUUGAAGUAAUGAUUGAAAGGGAUAGUUGGGGGUGCUAGUAUUUAAUGGUCAGCGGUGAAAUGCGUGGACCCAUUAAAGACUAACUUAUGCGAAAGCAUUCACCAAGGAUAUCU